rnacentral:rRNA from 1 species
UACGGAGGUGGCAAGCGUUGUUCGGAAUUACUGGGCGUAAAGGGCGCGUAGGCGGCUAGGCAAGUCAGGUGUGAAAGCCCCGAGCUUAACUCGGGAACUGCAUCUGAAACUGCUGGGCUUGAGUUCUGGGAGGGGGUAGUGGAAUUCCCAGUGUAGCGGUGAAAUGCGUAGAUAUUGGGAGGAACACCUGCGGCGAAGGCGGCUACCUGGACAGAAACUGACGCUGAGGCGCGAAAGCUAGGGGAGCGAACGGG